rnacentral:rRNA from 1 species
GGCGGACGGGUGAGUAACACGUGGGUAACCUGCCUCAAAGAGGGGGAUAGCCUCCCGAAAGGGAGAUUAAUACCGCAUAAUAUCAUACCUUCACAUGAAGGAAUGAUUAAAGGAGUAAUCCGCUUUGAGAUGGACCCGCGGCGCAUUAGCUAGUUGGAGAGGUAACGGCUCACCAAGGCGACGAUGCGUAGCCGACCUGAGAGGGUGAUCGGCCACAUUGGAACUGAGACACGGUCCAGACUCCUACGGGAGGCAGCAGUGGGGAAUAUUGCACAAUGGGCGAAAGCCUGAUGCAGCAACGCCGCGUGAGUGAAGAAGGUCUUCGGAUUGUAAAGCUCUGUCUUUUGGGACGAACAAUGACGGUACCAAAGGAGGAAGCCACGGCUAACUACGUGCCAGCAGCCGCGGUAAUACGUAGGUGGCAAGCGUUGUCCGGAAUUACUGGGCGUAAAGGAUGUGUAGGCGGAUAUUUAAGUGAGAUGUGAAAUCCCCGGGCUUAACUUGGGGGCUGCAUUUCAAACUGGGUAUCUAGAGUGCAGGAGAGGAAAGCGGAAUUCCUAGUGUAGCGGUGAAAUGCGUAGAGAUUAGGAAGAACAUCAGUGGCGAAGGCGGCUUUCUGGACUGUAACUGACGCUGAGGCAUGAAAGCGUGGGGAGCAAACAGGAUUAGAUACCCUGGUAGUCCACGCCGUAAACGAUGAGUACUAGGUGUAGGAGGUAUCGACUCCUUCUGUGCCGCAGUUAACACAAUAAGUACUCCGCCUGGGAAGUACGGUCGCAAGAUUAAAACUCAAAGGAAUUGA